rnacentral:rRNA from 1 species
GAUGAACGCUGGCGGCGUGCCUAAUACAUGCCAGUCGAGCGAACGGACGAGAAGCUUGCUUCUCUGAUGUUAGCGGCGGACGGGUGAGUAACACGUGGAUAACCUACCUAUAAGACUGGGAUAACUUCGUGAAACCGGAGCUAAUACCGGAUGAUAUUUUGAACCGCAUGGUUCAAAAGUGAAAGACGGUCUUGCUGUCACUUAUAGAUGGAUCCGCGCUGCAUUAGCUAGUUGGUAAGGUAACGGCUUACCAAGGCAACGAUGCAUAGCCGACCUGAGAGGGUGAUCGGCCACACUGGAACUGAGACACGGUCCAGACUCCUACGGGAGGCAGCAGUAGGGAAUCUUCCGCAAUGGGCGAAAGCCUGACGGAGCAACGCCGCGUGAGUGAUGAAGGUCUUCGGAUCGUAAAACUCUGUUAUUAGGGAAGAACAGAUGUGUAAGUAACUGUGCACAUCUUGACGGUACCUAAUCAGAAAGCCACGGCUAACUACGUG